UCCGGUUGAUCCUGCCAGAGGCCGCUGCUAUCCGGCUGGGACUAAGCCAUGCUAGUCUAGGGGCUUGUACCCCUUCGGGGGUGCAAGCACCGGCGGACGGCUCAGUAACACGUGGACAACCUGCCCUCGGGUGGGGGAUAACCCCGGGAAACUGGGGCUAAUCCCCCAUAGGUGAUGGGUGCUGGAAUGCCCCAUCUCCGAAAGCGCUCAGCGCCCGAGGAUGGGUCUGCGGCGGAUUAGGUAGUUGGUGGGGUAACGGCCCACCAAGCCUAAGAUCCGUACGGGCUGUGGGAGCAGGAGCCCGGAGAUGGACCCUGAGACAAGGGUCCAGGCCCUACGGGGCGCAGCAGGCGCGAAACCUCCGCAAUGCGGGAAACCGCGACGGGGUUAGCCGGAGUGCCCGUGCAUUGCACGGGCUGUCGGGGUGCCUAAACAGCACCCCAUAGCAAGGGCCGGGCAAGGCCGGUGGCAGCCGCCGCGGUAAGACCGGCGGCCCGAGUGGCGGCCACUCUUAUUGGGCCUAAAGCGUCCGUAGCCGGCCCAGUAAGUCCCCCGGGAAAUCUGGUCGCUUAACGAUCAGACUUCCGGGGGAUACUGCUGGGCUAGGGACCGGGAGAGGCCGAGGG
rnacentral:rRNA from 1 species